GGAUUAGAUACCCUGGUAGUCCACGCCCUAAACGAUGUCAACUAGCUGUCGGGGUCUUCGGACUUUGGUAGCGCAGCUAACGCGUGAAGUUGACCGCCUGGGGAGUACGGUCGCAAGAUUAAAACUCAAAGGAAUUGACGGGGACCCGCACAAGCGGUGGAUGAUGUGGAUUAAUUCGAUGCAACGCGAAAAACCUUACCUACCCUUGACAUGUCUGGAAUCCCGAAGAGAUUUGGGAGUGCUCGAAAGAGAACCGGAACACAGGUGCUGCAUGGCCGUCGUCAGCUCGUGUCGUGAGAUGUUGGGUUAAGUCCCGCAACGAGCGCAACCCUUGUCAUUAGUUGCUACGAAAGGGAACUCUAAUGAGACUGCCGGUGACAAACCGGAGGAAGGUGGGGAUGACGUCAGGUCCUCAUGGCCCUUAUGGGUAGGGCUUCACACGUCAUACAAUGGUCGGGACAGAGGGCAGCCAACCCGCGAGGGGGAGCCAAUCCCAGAAACCCGAUCGUAGUCCGGAUUGCAGUCUGCAACUCGACUGCAUGAAGUCGGAAUCGCUAGUAAUCGCGGAUCAGCAUGCCGCGGUGAAUACGUUCCCGGGUCUUGUACACACCGCCCGUCACACCAUGGGAGUGGGUUCUACCAGAAGUAGUUAGCCUAACCGCAAGGAGGGCGAUUACCACGGUAGGGUUCAUGACUGGGGUGAAGUCGUAACAAGGUAGC
rnacentral:rRNA from 1 species